UUUGAUCAACACAGCAACAAACUUUGAUUUCUACCGCAGCAAAACUUUGAUUUCAAAUCUUGAUUUUUAAUUCCACAGCAGGAUUUCUUUCACACUUGAAAUCUUUGACGAAUCCUCAAAUUCACAAAUUCGAUUUUUACUCCUCAACCACGAUAUUUCAAUCCAGUAUAUAUAUGUAUAUCUAAUCUUCUUCAUCGCAAAUACCCAGCAAAUCCAACAGGAAAAAGUCUUUUAUAAUUCAUCCUGUUUCCUUCCCACUGCCGAAUCUCCAUCGGUGCGGCGCGAUUAGGACGUGAACUUUAAAUUAUCGCAGUUAACUUUCAAAGCUCAAGUUUCAGGUGUGGGAUUUAUUUCAGUACAUGCACGUGGUUAAUAUUUGUUCAUUUUAAUAUUAUGUGUUUACCGUAUGUGUUGUAAAAAUAUUUAUCGCUAGGGGCCAGCAUAAUUGGUCCAGGACUUCACCGUCCUUGGUAUGCCACAAUGCGAUUUCACGUUACAGGGUUGCAACCAUUAUAUUGUCGCCAGGGAUCCAUAUAUAGGGUCCGGGACAUUAAAGUCCUUGGAGUUGCCACAGUGCGUAUGGAAGUUAUGUUACGUUAUGACAAUAUGUGUUACCAUUUUAUUAACAUGGACAAUUAUUGCAUGUUCCCACACUGAGUGUACCCUGUAUGCUCAUCCCAUAUUCAACAUUUUCAGGUGAUUGAUAUCGGAGGCGCGUGGAGAGUCGAAUGGGCGCGUCGAAUCUAUUUAAAAUAAAUGUUUCUUAAAACAUAUUAUGUUAUUUCAUGUUAUAUCUUUUGGUUAUGUAAACUCUGAAAUUCUAUACUAUUUGAGAUUUGUGUGUGAUUUAUUUAAAUAAAUGUUGUUAUAUUAUUUUAA